rnacentral:rRNA from 1 species
GAUGAACGCUGGCGGCGUGCCUAAUACAUGCAAGUCGAGCGAACAGACGAGGAGCUUGCUCCUCUGACGUUAGCGGCGGACGGGUGAGUAACACGUGGCUAACCUACCUAUAAGACUGGGAUAACUUCGGGAAACCGGAGCUAAUACCGGAUAAUAUAUUGAACCUCAUGGUUCAAUAGUGAAAGACGGUUUUGCUGUCACUUAUAGAUGGAUCCGCGCCGCAUUAGCUAGUUGGUAAGGUAACGGCUUACCAAGGCAACGAUGCGUAGCCGACCUGAGAGGGUGAUCGGCCACACUGGAACUGAGACACGGUCCAGACUCCUACGGGAGGCAGCAGUAGGGAAUCUUCCGCAAUGGGCGAAAGCCUGACGGAGCAACGCCGCGUGAGUGAUGAAGGUCUUCGGAUCGUAAAACUCUGUUAUUAGGGAAGAACAAAUGUGUAAGUAACUAUGCACGUCUUGACGGUACCUAAUCAGAAAGCCACGGCUAACUACGUG